UCAGGCACAAAUGGAAUCACCUGCGUGGGUUGGCCAUGCCCUCUCCUCUGUUUGGCCAGGCUCUCACUGCUCACUGCAUUUUCUGAGCAGGCUAGCUUUCUAGCAUUAUGAUUGUGUAGCUUCAGGAUGGCCUUCUUGAGGAAAUAAUUGUGUUUGAACCAAACUCCCUGCUGAAAUUGCUAUCACUAAAGGACCCAGUUUGCCUGCAAUUCCUCCUAUCAUCUUUGGGCCUCAAACACAGCCUCAUUCUGGAGGUAGGUUCUUGCUGUUGUUCCUGUUUUGACUUCACUCCACAAGGACUUCUACCAAGACUGGUGCGACGAAGUUCCUCUGCAGACGCUCAGUGUGGCAGGAGCAGGAUCGCCGCAUCUGUCGCUGACAGUGAUGAAACAACCGUUUAACGCAAGGCGACAACCAACACGUGUAGAAUCAUCACUUUCUCAAGCUGAUGGCCUCAAAUUCGCCUUCUGGAUUUAAACGUAUACCUGUUGACUAAAGCUUACUGACAUGUACCCAAACACUAGUAUGUGAUAACUCUUCAUACAAUUGAACACAGC